rnacentral:sRNA from 1 species
UAGAGUGUGCCCUGAAGCCAUGGGCUUGG